rnacentral:rRNA from 1 species
GACGAACGCUGGCGGCGUGCUUAACACAUGCAAGUCGAGCGGUAAGGCCCUUUCGGGGGUACACGAGCGGCGAACGGGUGAGUAACACGUGGGUGACCUGCCCUUAGCUCUGGGAUAAGCCUGGGAAACUGGGUCUAAUACCGGAUAUGACUCCAUAACGCAUGUUGUGGGGUGGAAAGCCUUGUGCGGCUAGGGAUGGGCCCGCGGCCUAUCAGCUUGUUGGUGGGGUGAUGGCCUACCAAGGCGACGACGGGUAGCCGGCCUGAGAGGGCGACCGGCCACACUGGGACUGAGACACGGCCCAGACUCCUACGGGAGGCAGGCAGUGGGGAAUCUUGCGCAAUGGGCGAAAGCCUGACGCAGCGACGCCGCGUGAGGGAUGACGGCCU